rnacentral:tRNA from 1 species
GGGUAGGCGCCGGAUGAACGGAUAUCAUUGAUGUUGAUAGAUAUGGAAUGUUAUUCUCCUACUUU